rnacentral:rRNA from 1 species
GACGAACCGUGCGAACGUUGUUCGGAAUCACUGGGCUUAAAGGGCGCGUAGGCGGCAGAUCAAGUCCGGGGUGAAAGCCUCCAGCUCAACUGGAGAAGUGCCUUGGAUACUGAUUUGCUCGAGGGAGGUAGGGGUCGAGGGAACUUCUGGUGGAGCGGUGAAAUGCGUUGAUAUCAGAAGGAACGCCGGUGGCGAAAGCGCUCGACUGGAUCUCUUCUGACGCUGAGGAGCGAAAGCGUGGGGAGCGAACAGG